rnacentral:ncRNA from 1 species
GUGCGGUCAUAAAAAGCGAAAUUUUUUGAACGUUGGCUAUGUCAACGAAGCCGUCAGGAGCGAGCAAAUUUGUUUACAAAACUGCGAAUAAUUUUUUAAAAG